rnacentral:rRNA from 1 species
GGCCUUGACAUACUAAGAACUUUCCAGAGAUGGAUUGGUGCCUUCGGGAACUUAGAUACAGGUGCUGCAUGGCUGUCGUCAGCUCGUGUCGUGAGAUGUUGGGUUAAGUCCGCAACGAGCGCAACCCUUUUCCUUAUUUGCCAGCGGGUAAUGCCGGGAACUUUAAGGAUACUGCCAGUGACAAACUGGAGGAAGGCGGGGACGACGUCAAGUCAUCAUGGCCCUUACGGCCAGGGCUACACACGUGCUACAAUGGUCGGUACAAAGGGUUGCUACCUCGCGAGAGGAUGCUAAUCUCAAAAAGCCGAUCGUAGUCCGGAUCGCAGUCUGCAACUCGACUGCGUGAAGUCGGAAUCGCUAGUAAUCGCGGAUCAGAAUGUCGCGGUGAAUACGUUCCCGGGCCUUGUACACACCGCCCGUCACACCAUGGGAGUUUGUUGCACCAGAAGUAGGUAGUCUAACCGCAAGGAGGACGCUUACCACGGUGUGGCCGAUGACUGGGGUGAAGUCGUAACAAGGUAGGCGUAGAUGA